GGGUUGUGAGGUUAAGCGACUAAGCGUACACGGUGGAUGCCCUGGCAGUCAGAGGCGAUGAAGGACGUGCUAAUCUGCGAUAAGCGUCGGUAAGGUGAUAUGAACCGUUAUAACCGGCGAUUUCCGAAUGGGGAAACCCAGUGUGUUUCGACACACUAUCAUUAACUGAAUCCAUAGGUUAAUGAGGCGAACCGGGGGAACUGAAACAUCUAAGUACCCCGAGGAAAAGAAAUCAACCGAGAUUCCCCCAGUAGCGGCGAGCGAACGGGGAGCAGCCCAGAGCCUGAAUCAGUGUGUGUGUUAGUGGAAGCGUCUGGAAAGGCGCGCGAUACAGGGUGACAGCCCCGUACACAAAAAUGCACAUGCUGUGAGCUCGAUGAGUAGGGCGGGACACGUGGUAUCCUGUCUGAAUAUGGGGGGACCAUCCUCCAAGGCUAAAUACUCCUGACUGACCGAUAGUGAACCAGUACCGUGAGGGAAAGGCGAAAAGAACCCCGGCGAGGGGAGUGAAAAAGAACCUGAAACCGUGUACGUACAAGCAGUGGGAGCACGCUUAGGCGUGUGACUGCGUACCUUUUGUAUAAUGGGUCAGCGACUUAUAUUCUGUAGCAAGGUUAACCGAAUAGGGGAGCCGAAGGGAAACCGAGUCUUAACUGGGCGUUAAGUUGCAGGGUAUAGACCCGAAACCCGGUGAUCUAGCCAUGGGCAGGUUGAAGGUUGGGUAACACUAACUGGAGGACCGAACCGACUAAUGUUGAAAAAUUAGCGGAUGACUUGUGGCUGGGGGUGAAAGGCCAAUCAAACCGGGAGAUAGCUGGUUCUCCCCGAAAGCUAUUUAGGUAGCGCCUCGUGAAUUCAUCUCCGGGGGUAGAGCACUGUUUCGGCAAGGGGGUCAUCCCGACUUACCAACCCGAUGCAAACUGCGAAUACCGGAGAAUGUUAUCACGGGAGACACACGGCGGGUGCUAACGUCCGUCGUGAAGAGGGAAACAACCCAGACCGCCAGCUAAGGUCCCAAAGUCAUGGUUAAGUGGGAAACGAUGUGGGAAGGCCCAGACAGCCAGGAUGUUGGCUUAGAAGCAGCCAUCAUUUAAAGAAAGCGUAAUAGCUCACUGGUCGAGUCGGCCUGCGCGGAAGAUGUAACGGGGCUAAACCAUGCACCGAAGCUGCGGCAGCGACGCUGAUGCGUUGUUGGGUAGGGGAGCGUUCUGUAAGCCUGCGAAGGUGUGCUGUGAGGCAUGCUGGAGGUAUCAGAAGUGCGAAUGCUGACAUAAGUAACGAUAAAGCGGGUGAAAAGCCCGCUCGCCGGAAGACCAAGGGUUCCUGUCCAACGUUAAUCGGGGCAGGGUGAGUCGACCCCUAAGGCGAGGCCGAAAGGCGUAGUCGAUGGGAAACAGGUUAAUAUUCCUGUACUUGGUGUUACUGCGAAGGGGGGACGGAGAAGGCUAUGUUGGCCGGGCGACGGUUGUCCCGGUUUAAGCGUGUAGGCUGGUUUUCCAGGCAAAUCCGGAAAAUCAAGGCUGAGGCGUGAUGACGAGGCACUACGGUGCUGAAGCAACAAAUGCCCUGCUUCCAGGAAAAGCCUCUAAGCAUCAGGUAACAUCAAAUCGUACCCCAAACCGACACAGGUGGUCAGGUAGAGAAUACCAAGGCGCUUGAGAGAACUCGGGUGAAGGAACUAGGCAAAAUGGUGCCGUAACUUCGGGAGAAGGCACGCUGAUAUGUAGGUGAAGCGACUUGCUCGUGGAGCUGAAAUCAGUCGAAGAUACCAGCUGGCUGCAACUGUUUAUUAAAAACACAGCACUGUGCAAACACGAAAGUGGACGUAUACGGUGUGACGCCUGCCCGGUGCCGGAAGGUUAAUUGAUGGGGUCAGCGCAAGCGAAGCUCUUGAUCGAAGCCCCGGUAAACGGCGGCCGUAACUAUAACGGUCCUAAGGUAGCGAAAUUCCUUGUCGGGUAAGUUCCGACCUGCACGAAUGGCGUAAUGAUGGCCAGGCUGUCUCCACCCGAGACUCAGUGAAAUUGAACUCGCUGUGAAGAUGCAGUGUACCCGCGGCAAGACGGAAAGACCCCGUGAACCUUUACUAUAGCUUGACACUGAACAUUGAGCCUUGAUGUGUAGGAUAGGUGGGAGGCUUUGAAGUGUGGACGCCAGUCUGCAUGGAGCCGACCUUGAAAUACCACCCUUUAAUGUUUGAUGUUCUAACGUGGACCCGUGAUCCGGGUUGCGGACAGUGUCUGGUGGGUAGUUUGACUGGGGCGGUCUCCUCCUAAAGAGUAACGGAGGAGCACGAAGGUUGGCUAAUCCUGGUCGGACAUCAGGAGGUUAGUGCAAUGGCAUAAGCCAGCUUGACUGCGAGCGUGACGGCGCGAGCAGGUGCGAAAGCAGGUCAUAGUGAUCCGGUGGUUCUGAAUGGAAGGGCCAUCGCUCAACGGAUAAAAGGUACUCCGGGGAUAACAGGCUGAUACCGCCCAAGAGUUCAUAUCGACGGCGGUGUUUGGCACCUCGAUGUCGGCUCAUCACAUCCUGGGGCUGAAGUAGGUCCCAAGGGUAUGGCUGUUCGCCAUUUAAAGUGGUACGCGAGCUGGGUUUAGAACGUCGUGAGACAGUUCGGUCCCUAUCUGCCGUGGGCGCUGGAGAACUGAGGGGGGCUGCUCCUAGUACGAGAGGACCGGAGUGGACGCAUCACUGGUGUUCGGGUUGUCAUGCCAAUGGCACUGCCCGGUAGCUAAAUGCGGAAGAGAUAAGUGCUGAAAGCAUCUAAGCACGAAACUUGCCCCGAGAUGAGUUCUCCCUGACUCCUUGAGAGUCCUGAAGGAACGUUGAAGACGACGACGUUGAUAGGCCGGGUGUGUAAGCGCAGCGAUGCGUUGAGCUAACCGGUACUAAUGAACCGUGAGGCUUAACCUUACAACGCCGAAGCUGUU
rnacentral:rRNA from 1 species